rnacentral:rRNA from 1 species
GAUGAACGCUAGCUACAGGCUUAACACAUGCAAGUCGAGGGGUAGCAGGGUAGCAAUACCGCUGACGACCGGCGCACGGGUGAGUAACACGUAUCCAACCUUCCCAUAACUCGGGGAUAGCCUUUCGAAAGAAAGAUUAAUACCGGAUGGUACUCUUUCAAGGCAUCUUGAGAAAGUUAAAGACUUAUUGGUUAUGGAUGGGGAUGCGUUCCAUUAGAUAGUUGGUGAGGUAACGGCUCACCAAGUCUUCGAUGGAUAGGGGUUCUGAGAGGAAGGUCCCCCACAUUGGUACUGAGACACGGACCAAACUCCUACGGGAGGCAGCAGUGAGGAAUAUUGGUCAAUGGGCGAGAGCCUGAACCAGCCAAGUAGCGUGAAGGAUGAAGGUCCUAUGGAUUGUAAACUUCUUUUAUAGUAGAAUAAAGUGAUCCACGUGUGGAUUUUUGUAUGUAUACUAUGAAUAAGGAUCGGCUAAUUCCGUGCCAGCAGCCGCCGUAA